rnacentral:tRNA from 1 species
GGCCUGAUGGUCUAGUGGUAUGUGAAGGUCCACCUCACUUGUGACAGGUCUCGGGUUCGAAUCCCGAUUAGGCCC